AGUGAACGCUGGCGGUAGGCCUAACACAUGCAAGUCGAACGGCAGCACAGUAAGAGCUUGCUCUUACGGGUGGCGAGUGGCGGACGGGUGAGGAAUACAUCGGAAUCUACUUUUUCGUGGGGGAUAACGUAGGGAAACUUACGCUAAUACCGCAUACGACCUACGGGUGAAAGCAGGGGAUCUUCGGACCUUGCGCGAUUGAAUGAGCCGAUGUCGGAUUAGCUAGUUGGCGGGGUAAAGGCCCACCAAGGCGACGAUCCGUAGCUGGUCUGAGAGGAUGAUCAGCCACACUGGAACUGAGACACGGUCCAGACUCCUACGGGAGGCAGCAGUGGGGAAUAUUGGACAAUGGGCGCAAGCCUGCUCCAGCCAUACCGCGUGGGUGAAGAAGGCCUUCGGGUUGUAAAGCCCUUCUGUUGGGAAAGAAAAGCAGCAGGUUAAUACCCCGCUGUUCUGACGGUACCCAAAGAAUAAGCACCGGCUAACUUCGUG
rnacentral:rRNA from 1 species